UAGGGAAUCUUCCGCAAUGGACGAAAGUCUGACGGAGCAACGCCGCGUGAGUGAAGAAGGAUUUCGGUUCGUAAAACUCUGUUGUUAGGGAAGAAAAAAUGUAUAGUAACUAUAUACAAAAGAGACGGUACCUAACCAGAAAGCCACGGCUAACUACGUGCCAGCAGCCGCGGUAAUACGUAGGUGGCAAGCGUUGUCCGGAAUUAUUGGGCGUAAAGCGCGCGCAGGUGGUUUAGAAAGUCUGAUGUGAAAGCCCACGGCUCAACCGUGGAGGGUCAUUGGAAACUAAUAAACUUGAGUGCAGGAGAGAAAAGUGGAAUUCCUAGUGUAGCGGUGAAAUGCGUAGAGAUUAGGAGGAAUACCGGUGGCGAAGGCGACUUUCUGGCCAUAUACUGACGCUGAGGUACGAAAGCGUGGGUAGCAAACAGG
rnacentral:rRNA from 1 species